AGCUGCGUGAGAAUGAACGCUGUGAAUCGUCGUGUCCAACAAAGUCACUGUGGCUGAAUGGAGUUGCAGGUUAUGCGUCCAUCACAGUAAAUAAACGGCAGUGCUGACAAUGAGACCUGUAGCAUUU